UACCUGCAGCUCAAGUGGUGACCACUAUUAUUGGGCCUAAAACGUUCGUAGCCGGUUUAUUAAAUGCUUGGGUAAAUCGUGUAGCUUAACUAUACGAAUUCCGGGUAGACUGAUAGGCUUGAGACCGGGAGAAGCUAGAGGUACUCCUGGGGUAGAGGUGAAAUUCUGUAAUCCUGGGGGGACCACCAGUGGCGAAGGCGUCUAGCUAGAACGGGUCUGACGGUGAGGAACGAAGCCCUGGGGCGCAAACCGGAUUAGAUACCCGGGUAGUCCAGGGUGUAAACGCUGCUUGCUUGAUGUUAGUUGGGCUCCGAGCCCAAUUAGUGUCGGAGAGAAGUUGUUAAGCAAGCUGCCUGGGAAGUACGAUCGCAAGAUUGAAACUUAAAGGAAUUGGCGGGGGAGCACAGCAACGGGUGGAGCGUGCGGUUU
rnacentral:rRNA from 1 species